rnacentral:rRNA from 1 species
GCGCGAAACCUCCACAAUACGCGAAAGCGUGAUGGGGUCACCCCGAGUGCCGUCCGCUGAGGAUGGCUUUUGCUCGGUGUAAAGAGCCGGGAGUAAUAAGAGGGGGGAAAGACUGGUGUCAGCCGCCGCGGUAAUACCAGCUCCUCGAGUGGUGAGGGCGAUUACUGGGCCUAAAGCGUUCGUAGCCGGUUUGAUGAGUCCUUCGUGAAAUCCGUCGACUUAAUCGUCGGGCGUGCGAAGGAGACCAUCAAACUAGGGGGCGGGAGAAGUCGACGGUAUUCCCGGAGUAGGGGUGAAAUCCUAUAAUCCCGGGAGGACCACCAGUGGCGAAGGCGGUCGACUAGAACGUGCCCGACGGUGAUGGACGAAAGCUGGGGGAGCGAACCGGAUUAGAUACCCGGGUAGUCCCAGCUGUAAACUAUGCGAGCUAGGUGUUGGAGUAGCUACGUGCUGCCCCAGUGCCGCAGGGAAGCUCUUAAGCUCGCCGCCUGGGAAGUACGGCCGCAAGGCUGAAACUUAAGGAAUUGGCGGGGGA